UGCUGCUGCUGCUCCUCGGACCUCUGGCCCUGGGGCUCCUGCUGCUGCUGCCAGGGAACCCGUUGUUAAGAUUUUGGCAGCUCAUCACUGCACAACACUGUAUGUGAAGUUAGAAGAUUCCAGUGUAUGGUGUUCUUAACACAUCUUCCAAACUGAAGUUGGCAAACAGAUCCGUCUCAAACAAAGGAAUGUGUGCCCUGCUUAAUUUGCUGCUUAAUUUGCAUGUAAGCAGUAAACAGUCAUAUCAAGCAGGAAGGGAAACAAACGAUGCUCCAACUGGUGAGGAAAAAGCAGCAGGGAACAUCCUUCCCUAUAGACUCUGUCUCCUGAAUCUCAGCCGGAAAUGUUUUCCAAGAGGGGGCCUGACACUUUAAAAAGGAGGGAAAAACACCCCAAGGCACCCCCUCCUCUCUCUCUGCAUUGAUUCACUGCACCAGAAGGGACAAAGGAAGCAGCACUGAACUGGACAAGGGGUCCGUUCAGUCAGUAAGACUGCUGAGGGCAUGUGGUGAGAAAACCUUUCUUUGAAUUUAACAUAGUUUCUUAAGUUAGGCACCAGAUGUGUUUAACCUUUAUUUUUCAUGUAACCAUUUCUGACUGUUGUGCCUCAUGACUUGUACUCACUUAACAUCUCUAUCUUUGUCGUUAAUAAACGUUUUCUUAUUGUUUUAUCAAA